AUUGAACGCUGGCGGCAGGCUUAACACAUGCAAGUCGAGCGGGGGAGGUUGCUUCGGUAACUGACCUAGCGGCGGACGGGUGAGUAAUGCUUAGGAAUCUGCCUAUUAGUGGGGGACAACAUUCCGAAAGGAAUGCUAAUACCGCAUACGCCCUACGAGGAAAGCAGGGGAUCUUCGGACCUUGCGCUAAUAGAUGAGCCUAAGUCGGAUUAGCUAGUUGGUGGGGUAAAGGCCUACCAAGGCGACGAUCUGUAGCGGGUCUGAGAGGAUGAUCCGCCACACUGGGACUGAGACACGGCCCAGACUCCUACGGGAGGCAGCAGUGGGGAAUAUUGGACAAUGGGCGGAAGCCUGAUCCAGCCAUGCCGCGUGUGCGAAGAAGGCCUUUUGGUUGUAAAGCACUUUAAGCGAGGAGGAGGCUCUUAAGGUUAAUACCCUUGAUGAGUGGACGUUACUCGCAGAAUAAGCACCGGCUAACUCUGUGCCAGCCGCCGCGGUAACAC
rnacentral:rRNA from 1 species